ensembl:ncRNA Y40C5A.15 ncRNA
UUUUCUAACACUUUCUACAAAAGCCCUCAUAAUUAAAUCCUGCAGUUGACCGUUAAAUAUGGCACGCGUGUCGUCCAAUUUGUGUGAGAAACAAGAAACAAAUAGUUUUAUGUGAACCACUAAAUGACUUCACUUGAC